rnacentral:rRNA from 1 species
AGUGAACGCUGGCGGUAGGCCUAACACAUGCAAGUCGAACGGCAGCACAGUAAGAGCUUGCUCUUACGGGUGGCGAGUGGCGGACGGGUGAGGAAUACAUCGGAAUCUACUUUUUCGUGGGGGAUAACGUAGGGAAACUUACGCUAAUACCGCAUACGACCUACGGGUGAAAGCAGGGGAUCUUCGGACCUUGCGCGAUUGAAUGAGCCGAUGUCGGAUUAGCUAGUUGGCGGGGUAAAGGCCCAGCAAGGCGACGAUCCGUAGCUGGUCUGAGAGGAUGAUCAGCCACACUGGAACUGAGACACGGUCCAGACUCCUACGGGAGGCAGCAGUGGGGAAUAUUGGACAAUGGGCGCAAGCCUGAUCCAGCCAUACCGCGUGGGUGAAGGAGGCCUUCGGGUUGUAAAGCCCUUUUGUUGGGAAAGAAAAGCAGCAGGUUAAUACCCCGCUGUUCUGACGGUACCCAAAGAAUAAGCACCGGCUAACUUCGUG